UACGUAGGGGGCAAGCGUUGUCCGGAUUUAUUGGGCGUAAAGAGCGUGUAGGCGGCCAGGUAGGUCUGCUGUGAAAACUCGAGGCUUAACCUCGAGAUGUCGGCGGAAACCAUCUGGCUAGAGUCCGGAAGAGGAGAGCGGAAUUCCUGGUGUAGCGGUGAAAUGCGUAGAUAUCGAGAGGAACACCUGCGGCGAAGGCGGGUUGCUGGGCCGACACUGACGCUGAGGCGCGAAAGCCAGGGGAGCGAACGGG
rnacentral:rRNA from 1 species